GUCUUAAAAAGGUUUCGUUUUCAUAGAGUCGUCUUGUGAAGGCUCUAUGGACGCUGAUGUUUCUCUCUAUCUCGUUGUUUUGAAAACUUUGUUUAAAAAUAAGUAUAUAUAGGCCUUGGGGAGUUGGUUUAGGUUUAGGUCUUUUUAUUUUCAUAACACGCUAUUUUGGACCAAGAAGUUUCAUGGACUUCUAGUCACGACAACGACGCUUGGAGGCAUAGAAAAUAGGGGUUGUUUCUGAGACGGAUUGCUGCAAGCCACGAUUAAUGACAAUUUGGCCUCGGCUUGCUUCUCUUCAUAUGAAGCUGAACAUGGCUUUGUCAUUAACUUUGAUUGGUUCAUGACUUUAAGGACUAUGAUAGUAUUCUAAAGUCCCCACAGUUUUUUUUUCACCAAUCAGACUUUUUUGGUUUUAACUUUUUAAAAGGUUAUCACAUUCAUUUUUUAUUUUUUCCUCUUUAUUUUCCGUUCUUUUUUGAAGUCUCAAAUAGACGGCUGUUAAAAAAAAUCUGUAUAAAACUUCUUUUUUCUUCACCCCAUAGUAAUUAAAAAGUCUCUACAAGUUCAUAAUUUGUUUUACAAUUGU
rnacentral:sRNA from 1 species